rnacentral:lncRNA from 1 species
CGCAUUACCAACAUCUCUUGCUCCUCCAGAUAAAACAUUCAGGGAUUCGUAAAUUAUAAAGAUGCCUGCUCUUGGGCAUGAACAAAUAUAUGAAGUCAUCAGAUGAUAAAGAACAUUUCCUGCAACGACAGUGCCAGGCGGUCCUCGUGUUUCGUGAAAAAUGGUCCAAUAAAGCAGGCAUUUGAAGUCGAAGGGCUAUGGAUCACUCCAUUCAUCAACAAGAGCAUAGGACUCUAAAGCAAUGGUAAUCAGAAUUCGUAUAAAUUCGUACACCUAUCACCCGCCUCCAUUAAGACAAAUGAAUUGGCCAGCUCUGCAGCGUGGUCCAUUCAGUAAUUAGCACGACUGAGAAGCAGCCAAGGUGACAAGCUGUCGUUAUUGCUCUUUGGCCUCUCUUUACCGGAGGCAGUGGGCAAGCAACACCAAUAUGUGCCAGAAGAACAGUUGUCACACGAGACGCGUGGGAUCUAUUGAUAAAAAGAUUUCAUUAACAAACCUCCAUGGCAGCCUGACAGAUACGACAUCACGCAGCAGUUGUACCAUCAGUGUUCGUUUCGAAGGCGGGGCUUCGUGAACACGACAGACACCCAAUAGGGCGGUGUCUCUCGCUUUGACAGACAGCCAUUAGGGCGGGAUCUCGUCACCUUGACAGACAGCCAAUAGGGCGGGAUCUCGUCACCUUGACAGACAGCCAAUGGGGCGGGGUCUCGUCACCUUGACAAGCAGCCAACUGCACAGGCGUUUUAAAGCCACUCCUUUCCAAAUCGGAGUGAUCUUUGCAGAUGAUUAACACUCAUUAAUAAUCUAACUGUACUCAAGAAGUCAUGCUACUCCUAUCCCUUUCCAAGAAAACUCUAAUUGAGAAACGAGUUUUAUUUCACUUUAAAGAUAUCGACGUGAUAGGCCCUAGGGAAAAUCUUAAGAUUGUCACUAAGCGGUCACGUUAGGACAUUCCGGUAUACGUGAACCAUUUUAUAUUCAUCAAAUAAAUGGACCAAGGGUGCAAUCGACGGCUCAUAAGAUCGGACGUUGCAGGUGACAUUUGGCUGGAUGUUGAUAACUUCAUUAGACAUUUCUCGUGGUUUCUUUAUUGAACGUGGGUUGGCCGAGAUGGGGCCGAGUAUGGAUUUUUGAAUAAUAAUAAUAAUAAUGAUAAUCCAAAGAAAUCUCAGACAUUACCGACUAUAUGGGGACCUAGGCAAGGUGUAAAAUGCCUUCUUCCCAAAGAACUUUUAUGAGCAUAUUACCAAUAGUAGCAUUAUGAGAUUCAAUGUUUUUUCUUUCCAUGUACCACCGACCCUCCCUCAAUACCCAUCUUAAAUGCUUUACUGGAAGAAAAAUACCUAACUCUUAAUAUA